rnacentral:rRNA from 1 species
UACGUAGGUGGCAAGCGUUGUCCGGAAUUAUUGGGCGUAAAGCGCGCGCAGGCGGUCCUUUAAGUCUGAUGUGAAAGCCCACGGCUCAACCGUGGAGGGUCAUUGGAAACUGGGGGACUUGAGUGCAGAAGAGGAAAGCGGAAUUCCACGUGUAGCGGUGAAAUGCGCAGAUAUCAGGAAGAACACCCGUGGCGAAAGCGGCUCUCUGGAACGGUACUGACGCUGAGACGCGA